GACAGCCACUAGACAAUACGCGUAUUAAAUGCUCAAAUGUAGCAUACCUAUUCUCUGGUAAUUUAAGCACGUCUUUAAGCACAAAUCUUUGAAUAUCUGGAUUGUGUAUGCGAAUACUGCCACCCCCUAAUUCAAUACCAUUCACGACUAUAUCAUAAUGAAGUCCACGAACAGAAAGAGGCUUUUUUUCCAGUAAAUGUACAUCAUCCCAAUGAGGAGCAGUAAAUGGGUGAUGUGUAGAUGUAAUAGAUUGAUUUUUCUCUUCGGUUGGUGAGAAAAGAGGAAAAUCCACGACCCAAACGAAUUUUAAUAAAUCCUUGUCCAGCUCUGGUAAAGCUUUCUUUUUAACCAGCAGUUCAUGAAGCAAAAGUCGCAGUUUCCCCAAAGGUGUUGUCCCAGAAACCAAAUAUUUUGGUCUGUUUGUCAUAAAAACAAUACUGUUGAUACCAAUUUGAAGUUUUUGAUUAAGCUCCUCGGCUACAAUAGGAAGUUGGCGAAGUUGUGGCAGUUUUUUUACCCAAGUUUGUAAUUGAGAAUGCUCCCGAAUUGAUGUGACAACAACAUUUUCACCUACAGCUUCACAUAAUUUUCGGCUUUCUGCAUUACUCAAAGAGUGUGAUAAAUCAUUGUAAACAAGGAUUUCAGUACUAAUUAAGGGAUCUUGUUUAGGAAGCAAAGAAGUUAUAUUUUUCAAGGGUAAUUCAAAUCGAAUAUCUGGUUUAUCGGAGCCAUAUUUGUCAAUAGCAUGCUGAUAAGUUAUAUGUUGAAAUGGUUUUGCUAGAGUUAUUCCUUUAGCAAAACUUACCAAUCGGACAAGCAAAUCUUCAACUACCUCCAUUAUUUCGUGAGGUUUAUCAACGAAACUCAUUUCAAGGUCAAUCUGAGUAAACUCGGGUUGCCUAUCGAAACGAAGAUCUUCAUCACGAAAACAACGAGCUAUCUGAUAAUAGUUCCCGAUUCCGCUUGCCAUUAGAAUUUGCUUAUAUUGUUGCGGACUUUGUGGUAAGGCGUAGAAUUUGCCAGGAUUUAAUCUUGAAGGGACAACAAAUUCGCGCGCCCCUUCAGGAGUUGAUUUAAACAAUAAAGGUGUUUCAACUUCACAAAAUUCUCUAUCAUUAAAAAAAGAGUGUACUUGAUAAGCCAACCUUGAUCGUUGUCGUAAAUAUGAAUUAUAUUUGGGGGCUCGUAACUGAAUAUGUCGAUUUGCUAACUGUAUCCGCAUUCCCGGUUUUUCAUCACCGGGAAAUAACUGUAAAUUUUUAGCAACGUUUAGUAAUUUCACAUCUUCAACGUGAAGUUCAAAUUCAUUACCGGGACGACGAUCAUGCUCUGGUCGACGCUGAAGUUUACCCGUAACUUGAACAACGCUUUCGGGCGGAAUGGAAGAUAAAGUACGCAUAACAGAAGUAGAUUUUUGUUGUGAAAAGUCGGUAGAGGAAACCAGCGGUUCUCUUUUCUGUUGGAGGAUUAUUUUGUCUGUGGAAAGUAAUUGAAGAAUGGUACCAUGAGUGUCACGAAGUUGAUGAAAGCUAAUGCUCUUGGAAACUUGCCGGCUAGUUGCUACGAGCCAGCCCUGAAUACUCACUUUGGUCCCUACCAAAGGGAGUAAACAAGCAGGUAGCCUAGAAAGUACCAUAGUGAAAAACGGCGCAAGCAGCGAGGAUAGUAGAAGAAAAGAAAGAGAGUGAAAAGAAGAAAAGGUCAGAAAGAAAUCUUAAAAAAUUAAAAAGUGGGUAUAUUAAUAUUGAUAGAGGAGGUAAGAAUAGGGAGAACAGCGACUGGUUGUGAAUAAAAGGAUAUGAAUCAAAUUAGA